rnacentral:rRNA from 1 species
AAAUUGAAGAGUUUGAUCAUGGCUCAGAUUGAACGCUGGCGGCAGGCCUAACACAUGCAAGUCGAACGGUAGCACAGAGAGCUUGCUCUCGGGUGACGAGUGGCGGACGGGUGAGUAAUGUCUGGGAAACUGCCUGAUGGAGGGGGAUAACUACUGGAAACGGUAGCUAAUACCGCAUAACGUCGCAAGACCAAAGAGGGGGACCUUCGGGCCUCUUGCCAUCAGAUGUGCCCAGAUGGGAUUAGCUAGUAGGUGGGGUAACGGCUCACCUAGGCGACGAUCCCUAGCUGGUCUGAGAGGAUGACCAGCCACACUGGAACUGAGACACGGUCCAGACUCCUACGGGAGGCAGCAGUGGGGAAUAUUGCACAAUGGGCGCAAGCCUGAUGCAGCCAUGCCGCGUGUAUGAAGAAGGCCUUCGGGUUGUAAAGUACUUUCAGCGGGGAGGAAGGUGUUGCGGUUAAUAACCGCAGCAAUUGACGUUACCCGCAGAAGAAGCACCGGCUAACUCCGUGCCAGCAGCCGCGGUAAUACGGAGGGUGCAAGCGUUAAUCGGAAUUACUGGGCGUAAAGCGCACGCAGGCGGUCUGUCAAGUCGGAUGUGAAAUCCCCGGGCUCAACCUGGGAACUGCAUUCGAAACUGGCAGGCUAGAGUCUUGUAGAGGGGGGUAGAAUUCCAGGUGUAGCGGUGAAAUGCGUAGAGAUCUGGAGGAAUACCGGUGGCGAAGGCGGCCCCCUGGACAAAGACUGACGCUCAGGUGCGAAAGCGUGGGGAGCAAACAGGAUUAGAUACCCUGGUAGUCCACGCCGUAAACGAUGUCGACUUGGAGGUUGUUCCCUUGAGGAGUGGCUUCCGGAGCUAACGCGUUAAGUCGACCGCCUGGGGAGUACGGCCGCAAGGUUAAAACUCAAAUGAAUUGACGGGGGCCCGCACAAGCGGUGGAGCAUGUGGUUUAAUUCGAUGCAACGCGAAGAACCUUACCUACUCUUGACAUCCAGAGAACUUAGCAGAGAUGCUUUGGUGCCUUCGGGAACUCUGAGACAGGUGCUGCAUGGCUGUCGUCAGCUCGUGUUGUGAAAUGUUGGGUUAAGUCCCGCAACGAGCGCAACCCUUAUCCUUUGUUGCCAGCGGUUAGGCCGGGAACUCAAAGGAGACUGCCAGUGAUAAACUGGAGGAAGGUGGGGAUGACGUCAAGUCAUCAUGGCCCUUACGAGUAGGGCUACACACGUGCUACAAUGGCGCAUACAAAGAGAAGCGACCUCGCGAGAGCAAGCGGACCUCAUAAAGUGCGUCGUAGUCCGGAUUGGAGUCUGCAACUCGACUCCAUGAAGUCGGAAUCGCUAGUAAUCGUAGAUCAGAAUGCUACGGUGAAUACGUUCCCGGGCCUUGUACACACCGCCCGUCACACCAUGGGAGUGGGUUGCAAAAGAAGUAGGUAGCUUAACCUUCGGGAGGGCGCUUACCACUUUGUGAUUCAUGACUGGGGUGAAGUCGUAACAAGGUAACCGUAGGGGAACCUGCGGUUGGAUCACCUCCUUACCUUAAAGAA